GUCUACAGCCAUGCCACCCUGACCGUGCCCAGUCUCGUCUGAUCUCAGAAGCUAAGCAGGGUUGGGUCUGGUUACUACUUGGAUGGGAGACCACCUAGGAAUACCACAUGCUGUAGGUG
rnacentral:rRNA from 1 species